rnacentral:rRNA from 1 species
AUUGAACGCUGGCGGCAUGCCUUACACAUGCAAGUCGAACGGCAGCACGGGAGCAAUCCUGGUGGCGAGUGGCGAACGGGUGAGUAAUAUAUCGGAACGUGCCCAGUCGUGGGGGAUAACGUAGCGAAAGCUACGCUAAUACCGCAUACGAUCUAUGGAUGAAAGCGGGGGAUCGCAAGACCUCGCGCGAUUGGAGCGGCCGAUAACAGAUUAGGUAGUUGGUGAGGUAAAGGCUCACCAAGCCGACGAUCUGUAGCUGGUCUGAGAGGACGACCAGCCACACUGGGACUGAGACACGGCCCAGACUCCUACGGGAGGCAGCAGUGGGGAAUUUUGGACAGUGGGCGCAAGCCUGAUCCAGCAAUGCCGCGUGCAGGAUGAAGGCCUUCGGGUUGUAAACUGCUUUUGUACGGAACGAAACGGCGAGCUCUAAUACAGCUUGCUAAUGACGGUACCGUAAGAAUAAGCACCGGCUAACUACGUGCCAGCCGCCGCGGUAAGAC